CCAAAAACGGUAUACCCUUUAAAGACAUUUGUUAUUGUGCUACCUUUGUAUGUUGUUCUACAUCAUGGAUUUUACUGAUUUGCCAGUUGAGAAAAUUUAUAAUCUAAGACAUUAGGAAUAUGAUACCACCUUAUUAACGACUAUUAAAGUGCCAGCAGUCGCGGUCACACUUUAGUUAAAUAUAAAGAUAAACAGGAUACAGGAAAGUAACAAAACUCCUGUAGUGAAAUACGGACACCGUAAUACUUUAUUACUUAUAUAUUAUAUAAAAUACUGAUGGCAAACAGGGAUUAGAUACCCCUUUAUGCAGUACACAUAACUGUAUCCUGGGCAUUACGAUCAUCAGAUUAAAACCCAACUAACAUGGCGGUAGUUUAAACAUUUAGGGGAACUUACUAGAUAAUUGAUAACCACCAAGAAUAUAUACGUUAAGUAAGAUUUUAUAUACCGUCGUCGUCAGAUAUACUAAAAUAGAAUAUCGUAAUAUACUAAAUAAUAAGACAGAUCAAGGUGUAGACAACCUUAACGCCUUAGCGAGUUACAAUAUAAUUUUUUUUCGGGACCAGCUAUAAUGCUCGUUAAAGGCGGACUUAAAAGUAAUAACAAAUGACACUAAACUAUGAAUACUUUUUAAACUGUGC
rnacentral:rRNA from 1 species